rnacentral:rRNA from 1 species
GAUGAACGCUAGCGGCAGGCCUAACACAUGCAAGUCGAGGGGCAGCAUAAAACAAGCUUGCUUGUUUGGUGGCGACCGGCGCACGGGUGCGUAACGCGUAUGCAACCUACCCUGUACUGGGGGAUAGCCCGGAGAAAUUCGGAUUAAGACCCCAUAGCACUUAAGAAUGGCAUCAUUCAUAAGUUAAAGGUUACGGUACAGGAUGGGCAUGCGUCCCAUUAGCUAGAUGGUAAGGUAACGGCUUACCAUGGCAACGAUGGGUAGGGGGCCUGAGAGGGUGGUCCCCCACACUGGUACUGAGACACGGACCAGACUCCUACGGGAGGCAGCAGUGAGGAAUAUUGGUCAAUGGGCGCAAGCCUGAACCAGCCAUGCCGCGUGCAGGAAGACGGUCCUAUGGAUUGUAAACUGCUUUAUUUGGGAAUAAACCUCUUUACGUGUAGAGAGCUGAAGGUACCAAAUGAAUAAGCACCGGCUAACUCGUG